rnacentral:rRNA from 1 species
GACGAACGCUGGCGGCGUGCUUAACACAUGCAAGUCGAACGGUGAAGCUCCAGCUUGCUGGAGUGGAUCAGUGGCGAACGGGUGAGUAACACGUGAGCAACCUGCCCCUGACUCUGGAAUAAGCGCUGGAAACGGCGUCUAAUACUGGAUACGAGAAGGGUCCGCAUGGGCACUUUCUGGAAAGUUUUUCGGUUGGGGAUGGGCUCGCGGCCUAUCAGCUUGUUGGUGAGGUAAUGGCUCACCAAGGCGACGACGGGUAGCCGGCCUGAGAGGGCGACCGGCCACACUGGGACUGAGACACGGCCCAGACUCCUACGGGAGGCAGCAGUGGGGAAUAUUGCACAAUGGGCGAAAGCCUGACGCAGCGACGCCGCGUGAGGGAUGACGGCCUUCGGGUUGUAAACCUCUUUCAGCAGGGAAGAAGCGAAAGUGACGGUACCUGCAGAAGAAGCACCGGCUAACUACGUG